rnacentral:rRNA from 1 species
UGGGGAAUAUUGCACAAUGGGCGCAAGCCUGAUGCAGCCAUGCCGCGUGUGUGAAGAAGGCCUUCGGGUUGUAAAGCACUUUCAGCGAGGAGGAAGGUGGUGAGCUUAAUACGCUCAUCAAUUGACGUUACUCGCAGAAGAAGCACCGGCUAACUCCGUGCCAGCAGCCGCGGUAAUACGGAGGGUGCAAGCGUUAAUCGGAAUUACUGGGCGUAAAGCGCACGCAGGCGGUUUGUUAAGUCAGAUGUGAAAAUCCCCGGGCUCAACCUGGGAACUGCAUUUGAAAACUGGCAAGCUAGAGUCUCGUAGAGGGGGGUAGAAUUCCAGGUGUAGCGGUGAAAUGCGUAGAGAUCUGGAGGAAUACCGGUGGCGAAGGCGGCCCCCUGGACGAAGACUGACGCUCAGGUGCGAAAGCGUGGGGAGCAAAACAGAUUAGAUACCCUGGUAGUCCACGCUGU